GCCGGGCAUAGUGGUGGGCGCCUGUAAUCCCAGCUACUUGGGAGGCUGAGGCAGGAGAAUUGCUUGAACCCAGGACGUGGAGCUUGCAGUGAGCCAAAUCACUGCACUCCAGCCUGGGUGACAGAGUAAGAUUUUGUCUCAA
ensembl:misc_RNA Metazoa_SRP Metazoan signal recognition particle RNA